UUUUGGAACAAUUUUGGAACA
rnacentral:piRNA from 1 species